CCAAUAGCGUAUAUUAAAGUUGUUGCAGUUAAAAAGCUCGUAGUUGAAUUUCGGGGUUAGUAGGUUGGUCAUGCCACUGGUAUGUACUGAUCUUACUGAUUCCUCCUUCCUGAUGAACCGUAAUGCCAUUAAUUUGGUGUUGCGGGGAGACUGGACUGUUACUUUGAAAAAAUUAGAGUGUUUAAAGCAGGCUAACGCUUGAAUACAUUAGCAUGGAAUAAUGAAAUAGGACGUUCGAUCCUAUUUUGUUGGUUUCUAGGAUUGACGUAAUGAUUAAUAGGGAUAGUUGGGGGCAUUAGUAUUCAAUUGUCAGAGGUGAAAUUCUUGGAUUUAUUGAAGACUAACUACUGCGAAAGCAUUUGCCAAGGAUGUUUUCAUUAAUCAAGAACGAAAGUUAGGGGAUCGAAGACGAUCAGAUACCGUCGUAGUCUUAACCAUAAACUAUGCCGACUAGGGAUCGGAUGAUGUUAAUUUUUUAAUGACUCAUUCGGCGCCUUACG
rnacentral:rRNA from 1 species